CUAACAGCCGUAUUCAUAAAAAAUCCUUAAAUGAGGAAUGAUCAGCUUAUUAGCUAAUCCACUGUUUAGGCUUAAUAAGCCGUUGAUAAGAACCAUGAUUUAUAAACGUUUAUUAGGGGUUUCUUAACUAAUAAGCAGAUUAGACCCGUUAUGUUGGCAUCUUGGCACAUCAUAGACAAAAAUAUGGCUGAACAUUAAUUAAAAAAAAAAGUUUGACAGCAGCACUAGCGGUAAAUCAUAAAAUCCUGAACAAUACGAUGCACAAUUUUGACCAGUUUUCUGGGUUAUUAUAUAUUAAAAUAGCCUCUGCAUCACAAAAACAAAUAAAUAAUAUUGCACGGCCGGAAGUUUUACGAAACUCGUUUCAAUAUAUUGUGGAAUGAGGGAAAGAGGGCAGUUGCACAUCUCAAGUCAAGAAUUCUGCCUGCGCGCCAUCGCCACCGUAAUACCACGGAUUCCAACACAUUUUGUUCUGGUGGCGAAACAAACGAUAUUGACACUAUUCAUAUCAAAUGAUCGGUGAAGAUAAAUCAGGUGAGCAAGAUUUGGUUAUUCAUUUCUUAACGUAAAAUGUUGUAGUAUUUUUAUGAACAUACCUCGACACCCAAAAAAUUAUGGCCUCUUCAUUUUUAAUUUGACGUACUAUCGGUGUUUUUUAGAAGAGCAGAGCUAACUAAGCUAGUUAGGAGCUGUUUAUAAUUAGAAUUAGUGAAUAACAUACUUAACCAACCACACGAUGGAACCAAUUUAUCAGUGAAGUGGUGAUUUAUCUUAAAAACCUUUUUUGUUCGCCUAGGGCGCAGAGUUAAAGAUAAGCGCUUAUAUAUGCAACUUGACAAUGACAAUGUUUGCAGUGAAACAUCUCAGCCAAUAGCCGCAUUAAAAGGCAAACUGCACAAUUCAUAAUGAGGCAGAAAUGUUCAUUAUUCACAGGAGUGUCGCUGUUGGUAGGUUAUAUAAUUUUAAAUCAACAAAGAUAUCAAUAUGAUUUUUACAUAAGGUACUUAUCAAUCAUAACACACCAUUGUAGGUUAAUUAUUUGUUUAAAAGUAUAUUAGCGUUUCAAUUCAUAACUUUGUUAUUAUUGUAUAAUUUCAUUUUAUCAAACUACAAUUACCGGUAAGAAACAGUGUCUGUAGGUACGCUAGGUAGAAGUAUGUAUGAACAAAACAGACAUGUAUGUAAUUCUUUAGUUUUGCUGUGAGAUAGCUAUGGUAUUGACAAACAACAACAGAAUCUCUGCCUGGAUGGAGAUCCAUUAUUCCAUAUAGUUACCACAACAAUAUGGAAAUUAUUCCAUAUUGCCAUAUCCAUUAGGAUGUUAUACUUAAGCUUAAAAUAAAAGAUGAUAUAGGUUGAUUCAAUGAGUAUAUUAAUUGAAACUGUGUUCUUUUCAGGUUGUGAGUAUUCCAUCAUCAGCUAUUUGUCCGGAGCUGGCUACACAAUCCGGAGGCCACACUCUUCUGGCAUCUAACCGGCCUGCACACCGCCAUCAAAUGAAGUUGGUUGUACUGAAAUAAAGAAAAAAUAUUAACUAGUUUAAUGAUUGUCAAAUGUAAUAAAAUUGUUUUAUUUAAGUGGGUUGUUUGAUUUCCCUAAAUUAACACAUGAAAUAUGUUGAUAUGUUAUAAUAAAAAUCUCAGUUAAAAACUCA